rnacentral:rRNA from 1 species
AUGUCUGAUCAUGAACUACCCAUCUUGGGCUCCCGGAAUGCAGGGGAACUUAUUGCUAUAGAUGCUUGGUAUUUAUGGUGGAAUAGCCGGAAACUAGUCCAUGAGAGUAAGUCUCAAGAGGCGUCCCAAACCUCGAUGGGGAUUCGGGCUAUAACAUCGAACUAUGUAAAUGCCCACUCUCCUAAAGCAAAGAGAAAGAAUAAAGGAUGGUGCAGACCUCCUAGGGGUUUCGUUAAAUUGAAUGUGGAUGCUUCUUUUGAUCUUGAUCAGCUAAGAGGCACAGUAGGUGCUGUUAUCAGAGAUGACAAAGGAAACUUCAUAAUAGGUGGUAACUAG